GAUGAACGCUGGCGGCGUGCCUAAUACAUGCAAGUCGAGCGAACGGACGAGAAGCUUGCUUCUCUGAUGUUAGCGGCGGACAGGUGAGUAACACGUGGAUAACCUACCUAUAAGACUGGGAUAACUUCGGGAAACCGGAGCUAAUACCGGAUAAUAUUUUGAACCGCAUGGUUCAAAAGUGAAAGACGGUCUUGCUGUCACUUAUAGAUGGAUCAGCGCUGCAUUAGCUAGUUGGUAAGGUAACGGCUUACCAAGGCAACGAUGCAUAGCCGACCUGAGAGGGUGAUCGGCCACACUGGAACUGAGACACGGUCCAGACUCCUACGGGAGGCAGCAGUAGGGAAUCUUCCGCAAUGGGCGAAAGCCUGACGGAGCAACGCCGCGUGAGUGAUGAAGGUCUUCGGAUCGUAAAACUCUGUUAUUAGGGAAGAACAUAUGUGUAAGUAACUGUGCACAUCUUGACGGUACCUAAUCAGAAAGCCACGGCUAACUACGUG
rnacentral:rRNA from 1 species